GCCUAAUACAUGCAAGUCGAACGGUCUUUCUAUGGAAGCUUGCUUCCACUGAGAAGAGUAGUGGCGAACGGGUGAGUAACACGUGGGUAACCUGCCCAUAAGAGGGGGGAUAACAUCCGGAAACGGGUGCUAAUACCGCAUAGUUUUCUUGAUCGCAUGAUUGAGAAAGGAAAGACGGCCUUUGUGCUGUCGCUUAUGGAUGGACCCGCGGCGUAUUAGUUAGUUGGUGAGGUAACGGCUCACCAAGACGAUGAUACGUAGCCGACCUGAGAGGUGAUCGGCCACAUUGGGACUGAGACACGGCCCAAACUCCUACGGGAGGCAGCAGUAGGGAAUCUUCCGCAAUGGACGAAAGUCUGACGGAGCAACGCCGCGUGAGUGGAAGAAGGUUUUCGGAUCGUAAAACUCUGUUGUCAGAGAAGAACAAGUUGGAGAGUAACUGCUCCAGCCUUGACGGUAUCUGACCAGAAAGCCACGGCUAACUACGUGCCAGCCGCGGC
rnacentral:rRNA from 1 species